AUGAACGCUGGCGGCGUGCCUAAUACAUGCAAGUCGAGCGAACGGACGAGAAGCUUGCUUUUCUGAUGUUAGCGGCGGACGGGUGAGUAACACGUGGAUAACCUACCUAUAAGACUGGGAUAACUUCGGGAAACCGGAGCUAAUACCGGAUAAUAUUUUGAACCGCAUGGUUCAAAAGUGAAAGACGGUCUUGCUGUCACUUAUAGAUGGAUCCGCACUGCAUUAGCUAGUUGGUAAGGUAACGGCUUACCAAGGCAACGAUGCAUAGCCGACCUGAGAGGGUGAUCGGCCACACUGGAACUGAGACACGGUCCAGACUCCUACGGGAGGCAGCAGUAGGGAAUCUUCCGCAAUGGGCGAAAGCCUGACGGAGCAACGCCGCGUGAGUGAUGAAGGUCUUCGGAUCGUAAAACUCUGUUAUUAGGGAAGAACAUAUGUGUAAGUAACUGUGCACAUCUUGACGGUACCUAAUCAGAAAGCCACGGCUAACUACGUG
rnacentral:rRNA from 1 species